GUCAGGUCACAUCUUUUAACAUCUGAAUAGUAAAGCUAUUUGGUUAAUUUAUGAAGGAUGAACAUUAAUUGUUGACACAAAACACCAAUAUACUGUUUUGUAUGCUUGGGUUAGUUGAACAGUUGGGUUACAUUUAAUAAAAAUACACCUAAUGUUGCUGAUGCUCUUAAGACUACAAGAUAAGUAAAGCUAUAAAAUGACUGUGGCCUGCCACAGAAGAUGAAGAUGAGGAAGAAGAGGAAUGCUCUCGAGGAUAAAUGCAGAGUGGCAGGGUACCUUCGGUCCUUCAUUGAAAAUGCAUCUUGUGCACAACAAAAAGCCCUCAUCAAGUUUUGGACAGGACUGUGGGAGUGGUCAACAGCAAUCUUCCAAAGUCUUCCACCGGUUUUGAAGUACUACGUCUUCCUGCACACUACUGUACCUAUGAGUCAUUUCUAAUGGACAUUCAGGUGUGUCUCAACUCUACUGACUCAGGUUUUGGUCUGGUUUACGAUUGAUUCCAUAACCACAUGGUAAAAUUAGACCAUUUCUUAUUUCUUGCAUCACAUUACUGUACUCGGUGUUCAAAGAAACGGACAAUCUAGUGAGUUCUAGUUCUUUUUAAUACACUUGACAGUGAAAAAUACACACUACAGGUGUGCAUUUAUGGCUUUUUUAAUAUAAACUGAUGAAGAGUUCAGAUAUCAAAAUCAGUUGUUCACUGUACAUUAUAAAUUACACAAUAUGUUUUGUUUAUACUCGCUACUGAUACAAAAAAAAUUUCUAGAAAAAAUUAUUUGAAUUAAGAUGUUACACUACUAUACUGUGUUCAUUGUAUUAAAUCUGCUCAGAGUUGACAUGUACUGUAUAUCCAACCAAGAAAUGAAUAUCAUUAAAGUGACAGCUGUAUAAAACAAA